AGAAGCCGGCGGCAGCGUGCAGCCGGGACUGGAUUCGGGGCCGAGGGGGUCGCAAACCCGCCGAGACUGAAGCGAGGCAGAGCGCCCCGCACAGCCCGAGCACCGGGAAGCGCGGAGCAGGCCCGCGGCGGCCUCUCGACUCACCGUCCCGGGCCGGGGCGGGCUUGGUGGCGGCGGGGAGCGCCUGGAGCGUCCCCGCCCCGCGGCCUGGGCUCCCGCCUCCCGCGGCCGCGCCGCUCCUGGGCGCCCGCCCCCGGCUCCGCCCGCCGCCCCGCCGCCGCAACCCAGCUCGCUAACGGUCGGUGGCAGCCCGCGUGCGCCGCCCGCCGGGGACUCGCGCCUGCCACGAGGGAGCGUCCGCGUCCCGCGAGCCCGCUCCGCGGAGCAGAGGUGAUAAGUGUGAUGCUUCCCUAAUACGUUUGGAUGUUUUCAGCCAGCUAAGUUCACUUUUGAACCGCGGGGUUCCUCCAAAUGUUGGCUGAAAUUUGUCCUUGCACGUCCCAAGGCUCAUCUGCAGAGUCCGCAGCUCCUAAUGGAUCCAAAGUACUUGCUGUUCGAAGGAGCAGAUUCUGAAGAUAGGGAGAUUCAGCCAUCGGUCUUUGAAAUUUCCUGAGAUUCGUUUCAGUCUAGAUGGAAAGGAAUUGGAAAAAUCAAGCACUCAGGGAAUUUAAAUAUGUUUUGAAUGUUUCUUUAUAGACUACAGUCUUUUUCCAGUUGAAAUCCUUGGUUGCCAUGCAGAGGAAGGUCAAACUCUUCUUGAUGAUUAUCUUUAUUGAAAAUGUAUAUGUCGUAGAAUAUUGCUAAACUAAUUUGUUUGAAACAAAGUGUAGGAAAAAAACGAAAUAAAUGUUAUGUGUUGACUGCUUCUAAAA